GGGAUUCCUUAGAGAUGUGCUCCUGCCCCUAGUCCCGAGAACUUUCACCGGGACGCCCGUACUUCUCAGGAUAGUCGAAGAACUGUGGAAUGAGUCUUCAGCCAAAAGUCGCUCAGAGCAUGACUCUUAACGAGUCUCAUUUAUGGGUAGGCGUCCGAUCGUAUUUAAGGUGAUUCGUUGCCUCACCAUUCGUUCAUCCCGUUCAGGCCCUGGGAGCGGAAACCCGGAGAUCGGCGGUGAUCCAUGAAGGCAGACAAUAUUUCACCCAGCAGUCGCGCAAACUUUUCAAUUCUCGAAAGUGUGACACGGCCAGUAUGAGUUCCGUCCGUGGAGGAUGACUUUUCACCAGUCUCGAAAGAUGGGGGAAUAAGGAGACGGCAAGUUUGGUGUCAAUAAUAGCGGUAAUCCCAGCUCUCCGAGUGGUGUGGAUGUUUAUUGGCCCUGAUGCAUCCGUACCCGUGCAAUAUAGUCCCCUUAGGCAUCCCCCCAACUAACAUUUGAUGUCGGCGCUAGAGGUCCCCUUUUGGCGGGAGAGAGGCAGUCGAUUUUUUGCGCGUAGGGCACCCCGUAGAUAAUCCCGGGAAGUCCCACAAUGCAUAUGCGGGUUUUUUAUCCCGCACCCCGCGGUGAGGAAUGAAAUGUGGGGGAGCGACCCCAAUUAGAUCCCGUGUAGUCGCCAACCCAACCUAGGCAGCCGGGGUUUCGGGCGCAGAGCCUUCCAGCUUCUGUAGCAUAUAAGCAUUUAGCCAGUUUCCCGGGAGUUCGGUCGCAAUAGGUCAGGUUAAGCAAGUGUGGGGACAGC
rnacentral:rRNA from 1 species